rnacentral:rRNA from 1 species
CCUACGGGCGGCAGCAGUGGGGAAUAUUGGACAAUGGGCGAAAGCCUGAUCCAGCCAUGCCGCGUGUGUGAAGAAGGCCUUCGGGUUGUAAAGCACUUUCAGUGGGGAAGAAAGCCUUGGGGCUAAUACCCUCGAGGAAGGACAUCACCCACAGAAGAAGCACCGGCUAACUCCGUGCCAGCAGCCGCGGUAAUACGGAGGGUGCGAGCGUUAAUCGGAAUUACUGGGCGUAAAGCGCGCGUAGGCGGUCUGAUAAGCCGGUUGUGAAAGCCCCGGGCUCAACCUGGGAACGGCAUCCGGAACUGUCAGGCUAGAGUGCAGUAGAGGAAGGUAGAAUUCCCGGUGUAGCGGUGAAAUGCGUAGAGAUCGGGAGGAAUACCAGUGGCGAAGGCGGCCUUCUGGACUGACACUGACGCUGAUGUGCGAAAGCGUGGGUAGCAAACAGGAUUAGAUACCCCGGUAGUC